GAAGGUAUAGCUCAGUGGUAGAGUGUGUGCUUAGCAUGCAUGAGGUCCUGGGAUCAAUCCCCAGUACCUCCA
rnacentral:tRNA from 1 species